GUCUAUGGCCAUGCUCCCUUGAACAAGUCCAAUCCCGUCUGAUCUCAGAAGCUAAGCAGGGUCGGGCCUGGUUAGUACUUGGAUGGGAGACUACCUAGGAAGACCAGGUGCUCAAGGUG
rnacentral:rRNA from 1 species